rnacentral:ncRNA from 1 species
AUAAAAGUUUUAUUUUGGCUUAUAAAUUUGUUAUUAGUUUAAUUUAUAUGUAAAUUUUUGUGUGAAUUAUUAUUUAUUUAAAUAGUAGAUAAAUUUUUAUUAAUCGCAGUAAUUAAUAUUAUUUAUUAAGGAAACUUAGAGAUAGUGAUAUUAAAGUAGUAUUGGCUAAAUUUGUGCCAGCAGCCGCGGUUAUACGAAUAAUACGAAUAAAUUUUGUUUAGUUAAAGUUAGAUUGUUUUUUAUUAAAAUAAAAAUAAAUUUAUUAGGUGAAAUUUUAAAUUUGUAGGUAAUUUUAAAUUAAAUAAUUAAAGCUUGGAAAUUUUAUUAAUAAACUAGGAUUAGAUACCCUAUUAUUUAAAAUGUAUAUAAAAAGACUAAGGUAGUAGUAGUUAUGUUCUUGAAACUUAAAAAAUUUGGCGGUAUUUUAGUCUAUUCAGAGGAACCUGUUUUGUAAUCGAUAAUCCACGAUGGACCUUACUUAAAUUUGUAAUCAGUUUAUAUACCGUCGUUAUUAGAAUAUUUUAUAAGAAAGUUAAUUUUCAAGAAUUUUUAAAAGAAAGAAUAUCAGAUCAAGGUGUAGCUUAUGUUUAAGUUUAAAUGGGUUACAAUAAAGUUAUUUAUAUGAAUAUAAAUUUGAAAUGUUUAUUGAAGGUGGAUUUGAUAGUAAAAUUAUAUAGAUAAAUAAUUUGAUUUUAGCUCUAAAAUAUGCACACAUCGCCCGUCACUCUUAUUAUUAAGGUAAGAUAAGUCGUAACAUAGUAGAUGUACUGGAAAGUGUACCUAGAAUGCA